UUUAGAAAGGAGAUACAGGGAUGAACUGUUAGUCCUAUCUAGUGUAGCUGCCAGUGACAGAGUUGGGAAUAAAACUUGGUUUUGAUUUUCUUUUUUCAGGUUUGUAGUUGUCAUAGAUACACAUGCAUCCACAAAGCACAAUGCACUGACAUAUUGAUAAUUAAAUUUUUAAAAAGCUAGUGGAAAAGAGUGUUCAAACAUUGUAAUAUGAUUGACAGGAAGACUAUUUCCUGGCUUAUACAUUAAUGUCAUUAAAUAUGUAGAUCAUGCCUCCUCUGAGCAGGAUGAUUACUGAAUACUACAGUCUGUUAACUGAAAGAGUGAACUAUGCAAAUGAACCUAUUCCAGCUCUUGUGAUUUCCUCGUGAUUUCUGACAAAGCAGUUGCAUCACCAAUUUCCCUUGUCAUACCUGUCAUCUUAGAAGCAAACUUUCUGAUUAUACAGCUGUCGAAGAAGUUUCUCACUCAUGCCAUUGGUUAUGUUUUACAUCUGCCUGACAAUGGUCAAUGGAUGUUUUGCACAGUCAUCUUCAAGUAAAGGUAUCCUAUGAGUUAAAGGCAAACAUAUCCUGUCUCAUUGGAGUUUUUAUGUUGAUACAUACUUUUACUGAGGAGAAACCACCUAUGGAAGAUCCAUUGCAGUGGAAGACUCCACCUGGAUCAAAUCUAGUAUCUUUUCUGGUUGAUAGUCAUAUUCUUCCUAUGGCAGCCACAAGGCACAAUCCUUUGAUGAGAAAACCUUGACGGUAUUUCAGAAGAGGAAGAAAUCAGUCUCUAUGGAGUCACUAGAGAUUUUGGCUAUUACUAAUUGAUGCUGCAUGGAGAGCACUCAGCGGUGACAGGCAUCAGUCUAAAGUGGUAAGACAAAGAGUUUCUAACCUUUGAAGUGUUGUGUGCAGAAGCUCUUGAAAAUGUAGAAAGUUUCUCUUUGCCUGCUGAGGUCUUGUGUGCCACAAGCCGUGUCUGGGCAAUUUGUUCUCUGCAUGUUGGGAGAGGUAAGGACAGAGGCCCUGAGGGACACUCUUAGGGUAUAGCACGAAACUCACAGCUCAGAAGGAGAG
rnacentral:lncRNA from 1 species